rfam:Picea glauca, whole genome shotgun sequence.
CUAAUGGAUCUACUUAGAUCCACCUACCAUAGUGAGAGAGUAAGAU